GAUAAACGCUAGCGGUGUGCAUUAUGCAUGCAAGUCGAGCGGUUAGUCGAAAGAUUAACAGCGGCAAACGGCUGAAUAACACGUAAGCAACCUGUCCUUAAGUGGGGAAUAAUCUACCGAAAGGUGGACUAAUACCGCAUGUGGUAGUGGAGGUAGUGCUUCAUUACUAAAGCUCUCGGGCGCUUGAGGAGGGGCUUGCGGCCUAGCAGGUAGUUGGUGAGGUAACGGCCCACCAAGCCGACGACGGGUAGCUGGUCUGGGAGGACGUACAGCCAGACGGGGACUGAGACACGGCCCCGACUCCUACGGGAGGCAGCAGCAGGGAAUACUGCGCAAUGGGCGAAAGCCUGACGCAGCAACACCGCGUGAGGGAAGAAGGCCUUCGGGUCGUAAACCUCUUUUGUUAGGGAAGAAUAAUGACGGUACCUAAUGAAUAAGUCACGGCUAACUACGUGCCAGCAGCCGCGGUAAAAC
rnacentral:rRNA from 1 species